CUCGAAUGGCGGGAACCAACAUCACUGCCCGAAACCGAUUUUCUGGAUUCUGGAGUAGCAGAUCUGGAAGAAACAAAUUACGAUUCUAACGAUCCGAGAGAUAAACGAAAUCGUCGAGAAUACUGCAAUCAGCACAUUUUAACGUCGUUCUGCGGCAAGCAAGCAGUAAAUGAGCGCAUGGCAAUUUUACAGAAAGUUGGGGUCACCAUUGUAUGUAAUUAGUGGUACGAUCGUCAACCUCUCUUGCCAACCCAGGAUUUCCCUUGAUUAAUGGUGAGUCACAUCCUCGAUCAAUUUUUAAAUAUAAUUUCGUAGCGUUGCAUUAACAAUAUACUUUAGACUAUACAUAUACUUGAAGAGAUUUUACUUCAAUAUUUUCAGAAUGUCUUUUAUAUCACGUCGCUUCUUAAUACUUUUUAGUACUCCAACACACGGUGAUUUGGAUCUUUGGUACACUGUUUAAAAUACUAGACCCCCACGUAGUUCUUCCUAGAAAGUUUCCUUUUCCCUCGCGAGUAAACAAGCAGAUAGUGGAGCU